UGAGUGAUGCAGAAUCUAGCAU
rnacentral:piRNA from 1 species